GUAAGGUUAAGCCUCACGGUUCAUUAGUACCGGUUAGCUCAACGCAUCGCUGCGCUUACACACCCGGCCUAUCAACGUCGUCGUCUUCAACGUUCCUUCAGGAGACUUAAAGUCUCAGGGAGAACUCAUCUCGGGGCAAGUUUCGUGCUUAGAUGCUUUCAGCACUUAUCUCUUCCGCAUUUAGCUACCGGGCAGUGCCAUUGGCAUGACAACCCGAACACCAGUGAUGCGUCCACUCCGGUCCUCUCGUACUAGGAGCAGCCCCCCUCAAUUCUCCAGCGCCCACGGCAGAUAGGGACCGAACUGUCUCACGACGUUCUAAACCCAGCUCGCGUACCACUUUAAAUGGCGAACAGCCAUACCCUUGGGACCUACUUCAGCCCCAGGAUGUGAUGAGCCGACAUCGAGGUGCCAAACACCGCCGUCGAUAUGAACUCUUGGGCGGUAUCAGCCUGUUAUCCCCGGAGUACCUUUUAUCCGUUGAGCGAUGGCCCUUCCAUUCAGAACCACCGGAUCACUAUGACCUGCUUUCGCACCUGCUCGCGCCGUCACGCUCGCAGUCAAGCUAGCUUAUGCCAUUGCACUAACCUCCUGAUGUCCGACCAGGAUUAGCUAACCUUCGUGCUCCUCCGUUACGCUUUGGGAGGAGACCGCCCCAGUCAAACUACCCACCAGACACUGUCCGCAACCCCGGUAAGGGGCCAACGUUAGAACAUCAAACAUUAAAGGGUGGUAUUUCAAGGUUGGCUCCACGCAGACUGGCGUCCACGCUUCAAAGCCUCCCACCUAUCCUACACAUCAAGGCUCAAUGUUCAGUGUCAAGCUAUAGUAAAGGUUCACGGGGUCUUUCCGUCUUGCCGCGGGUACACUGCAUCUUCACAGCGAGUUCAAUUUCACUGAGUCUCGGGUGGAGACAGCCUGGCCAUCAUUACGCCAUUCGUGCAGGUCGGAACUUACCCGACAAGGAAUUUCGCUACCUUAGGACCGUUAUAGUUACGGCCGCCGUUUACCGGGGCUUCGAUCAAGAGCUUCUCCUUACGGAUAACCCCAUCAAUUAACCUUCCGGCACCGGGCAGGCGUCACACCGUAUACGUCCACUUUCGUGUUUGCACAGUGCUGUGUUUUUAAUAAACAGUUGCAGCCAGCUGGUAUCUUCGACUGGUCUCAGCUCCAUCCGCAGGGACUUCACCUACACACCAGCGUGCCUUCUCCCGAAGUUACGGCACCAUUUUGCCUAGUUCCUUCACCCGAGUUCUCUCAAGCGCCUUGGUAUUCUCUACCUGACCACCUGUGUCGGUUUGGGGUACGAUUUAAUGUUACCUGAUGCUUAGAGGCUUUUCCUGGAAGCAGGGCAUUUGUUACUUCAGCACCGUAGUGCCUCGUCAUCACACCUCAGCCUUGAUUAUCCGGAUUUGCCUGGACAAUCAGCCUACAUGCUUAAACCGGGACAACCGUCGCCCGGCUAACAUAGCCUUCUCCGUCCCCCCUUCGCAGUAACACCAAGUACAGGAAUAUUAACCUGUUUCCCAUCGACUACGCCUUUCGGCCUCGCCUUAGGGGUCGACUCACCCUGCCCCGAUUAACGUUGGACAGGAACCCUUGGUCUUCCGGCGAGCGGGCUUUUCACCCGCUUUAUCGUUACUUAUGUCAGCAUUCGCACUUCUGAUACCUCCAGCAUGCCUCACAGCACACCUUCGCAGGCUUACAGAACGCUCCCCUACCCAACAACACAUAGUGUCGCUGCCGCAGCUUCGGUGCAUGGUUUAGCCCCGUUACAUCUUCCGCGCAGGCCGACUCGACCAGUGAGCUAUUACGCUUUCUUUAAAUGAUGGCUGCUUCUAAGCCAACAUCCUGGCUGUCUGUGCCUUCCCACAUCGUUUCCCACUUAACCAUGACUUUGGGACCUUAGCUGGCGGUCUGGGUUGUUUCCCUCUUCACGACGGACGUUAGCACCCGCCGUGUGUCUCCCGUGAUAACAUUCUUCGGUAUUCGUAGUUUGCAUCGGGUUGGUAAGUCGGGAUGACCCCCUAGCCGAAACAGUGCUCUACCCCCGAAGAUGAGUUCACGAGGCGCUACCUAAAUAGCUUUCGGGGAGAACCAGCUAUCUCCCGGUUUGAUUGGCCUUUCACCCCCAGCCACAAGUCAUCCGCUAAUUUUUCAACAUUAGUCGGUUCGGUCCUCCAGUUAGUGUUACCCAACCUUCAACCUGCCCAUGGCUAGAUCACCGGGUUUCGGGUCUAUACCCUGCAACUUAACGCCCAGUUAAGACUCGGUUUCCCUGCGGCUCCCCUAUACGGUUAACCUUGCUACAGAAUAUAAGUCGCUGACCCAUUAUACAAAAGGUACGCAGUCACACCCGAAGGUGCUCCCACUGCUUGUACGUACACGGUUUCAGGUUCUUUUUCACUCCCCUCGCCGGGGUUCUUUUCGCCUUUCCCUCACGGUACUGGUUCACUAUCGGUCAGUCAGGAGUAUUUAGCCUUGGAGGAUGGUCCCCCCAUAUUCAGACAGGAUACCACGUGUCCCGCCCUACUCUUCGAGUUCACAGCCUGUGCAUUUUGGUGUACGGGACUAUCACCCUGUACCGUCGGACUUUCCAGACCGUUCCACUAACACACAAGCUGAUUCAGACUCUGGGCUGCUCCCCGUUCGCUCGCCGCUACUGGGGGAAUCUCGGUUGAUUUCUUUUCCUCGGGGUACUUAGAUGUUUCAGUUCCCCCGGUUCGCCUCGUUAACCUAUGUAUUCAGUUAACGAUAGUGCAACGAAUUGCACUGGGUUUCCCCAUUCGGACAUCGCCGGUUAUAACGGUUCAUAUCACCUUACCGACGCUUUUCGCAGAUUAGCACGUCCUUCAUCGCCUCUGACUGCCAGGGCAUCCACCGUGUACGCUUAGUCGCUUAACC
rnacentral:rRNA from 1 species